AAUAGAUACCCAGGUAGUCCACGCCGUAAACGAUGGAUACUAGCUGUUUGAGCGCAAGUUUGAGUGGCUAAGCGAAAGUGAUAAGUAUCCCACCUGGGGAGUACGGGCGCAAGCCUGAAACUCAAAGGAAUUGACGGGGGCCCGCACAAGCGGUGGAGCAUGUGGUUUGAUUCGAUGAUACGCGAGGAACCUUACCAGGGCUUAAAUGUAGAUUGACGUAUUUGGAAACAGAUAUUUCUUCGGACAAUUUACAAGGUGCUGCAUGGUUGUCGUCAGCUCGUGCCGUGAGGUGUCAGGUUAAGUCCUAUAACGAGCGCAACCCCUGUUGUUAGUUGCCAGCGAGUAAUGUCGGGAACUCUAGCAAGACUGCCAGUGUAAACUGUGAGGAAGGUGGGGAUGACGUCAAAUCAUCACGGCCCUUACGUCCUGGGCCACACACGUGCUACAAUGGCCGGUACAGAGAGCAGCCACUUAGCGAUAAGGAGCGAAUCUAUAAAGCCGGUCACAGUUCGGAUCGGAGU
rnacentral:rRNA from 1 species